UUUUUUCAUGCCAUUCAACGAGCUGGAGGAGGGCACGCUGCCGCCUCUGAGUCGGAGUGGACCGAGGAGAAAGUCCAUGUCCUAGCGAGGCCAUACCAGUCUUAAUGCUAGAAACUCCGAGUUCUUCAUCCAGCUGAAGGAGAUAAAGAAAGCUGGAAAAGGUGGGUCUGUGACCGACGAUGGAGAUAUUCUGGAGCAGGCAAUGGAAGAAUGGUUCGUCAAGGUACGUGGAUUAUUUGAAUGGUAUGUGAUUGAUUAUCCCAGCUGAGAAGUCAUCCACGGUUGAUCCCACUCAGCAUGGUGAUACAGUAUGAUCUGCUGCUAUGUGUGAGGCUCAUCUGCAGAGCAACAUUGUCCUCCUAUAUUGCUGUCCUGUACUGACAAGACUACCUCAGGUAUGUCAAGUAAGCGGCAAGAACAGCAACGGAAGCAGGAACAGACAUAGGACAGAUGUGGUGUGCUAUAUCCUUAUUGUAAAUAUUCUACAGCAGCAUAUCACUGUAUUGAAUGAUAGCAGGAUGAACAAGCACGGUGGAAUGCAGAAGAAGAUGACAAGUAGCUAUGGUAACAUUGAUAGCUGACUUUGGGACACAUUUACCGAAGUGUCUUGUAUUACAAGCCUGUCUCAUAUAGAAGCCUGUUAUACAAGUCUGAUUUUUACGAUACACGGCCGGCACAGAGGCCUGAUUAUACCGUUGACAUACAUGUACACAGAAAUGCCUGAUUUGAAUGGAAGCCUAGCCCUGACAUCGGUUUUCACAGGAAUAGGCCCGUCUUUCACACGUCAACAUUUUGUCAUGAUUUCUGUACUGCGAAGUCCAUAUUUAGUGUAAUUUACUCUCGAUGAGUGUUGCUGAUAACAAUGCAGAUAUGAUUAUUGUAUAAACAACAUCUGCUCAAUAAUUAAGAUGUUGAUGGUGUAAGAUGGAUGUAUGGCAGUAGGCACGGAGUAUUCCCCUUACUUCAGAUGCUGGUAUUCUGUGCAUUCAUAUGCAUUUCAGGUUCU